AGGGUGACCGGCCACACUGGGACUGAGACACGGCCCAGACUCCUACGGGAGGCAGCAGUGGGGAAUCUUGCGCAAUGGGCGAAAGCCUGACGCAGCGACGCCGCGUGGGGGACGAAGGCCUUCGGGUUGUAAACCUCUUUCAGCAGGGAAGAAGCGAGAGUGACGGUACCUGCAGAAGAAGCACCGGCUAACUACGUGCCAGCAGCCGCGGUAAUACGUAGGGUGCAAGCGUUGUCCGGAAUUAUUGGGCGUAAAGAGCUCGUAGGUGGCGGGUCACGUCGGGUGUGAAAGCCCGGGGCUUAACCCCGGGUCUGCAUUCGAUACGGGCUUGCUAGGGUCCGGCAGGGGAGACUGGAAUUCCUGGUGUAGCGGUGAAAUGCGCAGAUAUCAGGAGGAACACCGGUGGCGAAGGCGGGUCUCUGGGCCGGUACCGACGCUGAGGAGCGAAAGCGUGGGGAGCGAACAGGAUUAGAUACCCUGGUAGUCCACGCCGUAAACGUUGGGCGCUAGGUGUGGGGAGCAUUCCACGUUCUCUGUGCCGUAGCUAACGCAUUAAGCGCCCCGCCUGGGGAGUACGG
rnacentral:rRNA from 1 species